rnacentral:rRNA from 1 species
AUUGAACGCUGGCGGCAGGCUUAACACAUGCAAGUCGAACGGUAACAGGGAGUAGCUUGCUACUUUGCUGACGAGUGGCGGACGGGUGAGUAAGGUAUGGGAAUUUGCCGAAUGGAGGGGACAACAGUUGGAAACGGCUGCUAAUACCGCAUAACGUCGCGAGACCAAAGGGUGGGACUUUCGGGCCACCUGCCAUUUUAGAUGGAGCCCAUAUGAGAAUUAGCUAGUUGGUGU